rnacentral:misc_RNA from 1 species
UCUGGCUUAUAGCCAAGCGGUCUCCUUAGAGUGCCCAACUUAAUGAUGGUAACUAAGGACGAGGGUUGCGCUCGUUGCGGGACUUAACCCAACAUCUCACAACACGAGCUGACGACAGCCAUGCAGCACCUGUCUCCGCGUCCCCGAAGGGAACUCUCAAUUUCUUGAGAUGGCGCGGGAUGUCAAGUCCAGGUAAGGUUUUUCGCGUAGCAUCGAAUUAAACCACAUGUUCCACCGCUUGUGCGGGCCCCCGUCAAUUCCUUUGAGUUUUAAUCUUGCGACCGUACUUCCCAGGCGGAUUACUUAAUGCGUUAGCUGCGACACCACAAAGAUUAGGCUUCGUGACGUCUAGUAAUCAUCGUUUAGGGCGUGGACUAC